rnacentral:lncRNA from 10 species
GCAAGAGCAACAUUCCAGCUGCCCCCCAGAUAGCUGGAGUGCCAGUUCCUGACGGGGGAUCAGCGAGGGGAGGCAAGGAGAAAGGGGGCGGGGAGAGAAGGUGCUGCAAAAUCAAAGGUAUAGAUGCUAGCCAGUAGAAGAGGUAAAACAAUGUAAAUGAACAAGGACGUGGUGAUUUUGACUGAGCCUAUGGAAGAUAAUAUGGACUCAAGCUAGCCAUUAUAUACAUACUCAGUUUCCUUGCUUCAUGACUGCUCCCACUGUCUGUGGCACAAAUUCUUCCUGAAUACCAACCUGAACUUCUGCUCAGAGGAGUUUACGGACACCAUGUGUGACACCACCUCUAAUUAACGUGUGCAUGGAUUUUCUUCACUGUAAUGGCAUUACCAUGAGGAAGAAGCCUGUUGCCAGGGCAACAGUACUGUGGAUUCUUCCCAGUGCAGUCACUGCUGAAAACUUCAUCUUCCAGAACUUUCCCAGUUUUUUUGACGAAUAAAAUGUUUUGAUCAAGAGUGUAAACCUACUGCCCUUACUGACUGGUUUCUCUCCUUAUUUUGUUGUGGUUUGGUGGUGGUGAUGGUGAUUGUCAUUGAUGUUAGCUUUUGGUUGUUGUAUUAUUAUCGUUUUUUUCUCUCUAUUUUUACUCAAGAGGGAGCUGAUCUGUAUAGUUUCCCUGAAUGUCUUCAUGAUUUUAAUUUUUGUAAUCUCCACUAAUAUUCAUUCCGUCUAUAAAACAAAUCCUUUCCUGAAUUUUACUUGUUGUCAGUUUUCCCAAUUCAACAUGACUCAAUCUCUGAAAGUAUCUUCUUACUCUUAUUGUCUCUCCAUAAAAGAGUAUAUUGCAGUUUUUCUCUGCAUGUCCUUCUUGCCUUUCUUUUUAACCACAUUACUUUGCUACAUUACUUUAAAGCUAAUAUUCAAAACAUAUAUUUUUAUAAUUGCUUUACAAUUAAAUACAUAGAACUACAUAAAAUAUCAACUCUCCAAUUCAUUCUGUCAAAGAAUACUUUUAAUAAGCUCCAAGCAUUUCAUUGAGAAGCAAUACUUUUUAAACCUCACAGAUAAGACCUACUCCUUUUUCUUAUUUCUAAUUGUGCCUGAUUUCUUCCAGUGUUUCCCAAUGUAGUUUUCAUUGCUAAGUCAGAAUAAAUUCAAACUUUCUUGCUAUGUGAAAGCUGAAAUGUAGUUCCUACUUUGAAGUGUUCUCUGGGUAGGAAUAAAAAUAUUCCACAUGUUAACACUUUGCAUUCUC